ensembl:lincRNA
AGACGGUUUUCUAUGGCUUUUCUGUGGCUUUCUUUUUUGUACCUUGUGAUGUUCCAGAAAGCCGUGGGUGCAUUGUUCAGGGCCACUCCCAGGCCAUCAGUGGCCACAGGGUGGCCCUUGUGGUCACCUGCAUGGAUGGUUAAUGCCAGGGAGAGGCAGGGGUGCUGGAUUGGAGAGAAGCACUGGCAGUCCUGGGAGCAUAGUCAGAAAUCGGGGUCUUCCUUCUCCUAGGAUGCUCUGCUACCAACUCGCCUGCUGUGGGAGCUGUGACUGGAAUGUAUUAUCAGGACGGUCACAAGAAAACCCUUGUGUGAAUGGAGAGGCACAAAGCAAAGAGCCCACUCGUCAUGUGUACUACUUCCCCUGGGCUCUGUCAUCACUCAGCGGCAGCCACAUUACACACAGUUGCUCCUGUACCAACUCUCCCAGGGAACGCAGGCAUCGAUCUGUCUCCUUCUCCAGAUGUGUUAUCCAAGAAGUGACUUUCGUACAGAAGAUCAGGGUUGGGUACCUCGAGAGGGCCGGAGAUCACAUAAAACAAAGAAAUUCCUCCAUCUGGAUGACGAUGAAGUAGGCUGGUGGGAAAGGCAAAGAGAGUUGGAACAGCCUUCAUGGUUUAAU